GACGAACGCUGGCGGCGUGCUUAACACAUGCAAGUCGAACGGUAAGGCUCCAGCUUGCUGGGGUACACGAGUGGCGAACGGGUGAGUAACACGUGGGUGACCUGCCCUGCACUUCGGGAUAAGCCUGGGAAACUGGGUCUAAUACCGGAUAGGACCAUGGUGUGGAUACUGUGGUGGAAAGUUUUUUCGGUGUGGGAUGGGCCCGCGGCCUAUCAGCUUGUUGGUGGGGUAAUGGCCUACCAAGGCGGCGACGGGUAGCCGGCCUGAGAGGGUGGACGGCCACAUUGGGACUGAGACACGGCCCAGACUCCUACGGGAGGCAGCAGUGGGGAAUAUUGCACAAUGGGCGGAAGCCUGAUGCAGCGACGCCGCGUGGGGGAUGACGGCCUUCGGGUUGUAAACUCCUUUCACCAUCGACGAAGGGUUUCUGACGGUAGAUGGAGAAGAAGCACCGGCUAACUACGUG
rnacentral:rRNA from 1 species